rnacentral:rRNA from 1 species
AUUGAACGCUGGCGGCAUGCCUUACACAUGCAAGUCGAACGGCAGCACGGGAGCAAUCCUGGUGGCGAGUGGCGAACGGGUGAGUAAUAUAUCGGAACGUGCCCAGUCGUGGGGGAUAACGUAGCGAAAGCUACGCUAAUACCGCAUACGAUCUAUGGAUGAAAGCGGGGGAUCGCAAGACCUCGCGCGAUUGGAGCGGCCGAUAUCAGAUUAGGUAGUUGGUGAGGUAAAGGCUCACCAAGCCGACGAUCUGUAGCUGGUCUGAGAGGACGACCAGCCACACUGGGACUGAGACACGGCCCAGACUCCUACGGGAGGCAGCAGUGGGGAAUUUUGGGACAAUGGGCGCAAGCCUGAUCCAGCAAUGCCGCGUGCAGGAUGAAGGCC